UCUAAAUUUUUUCUGUUGUCUCCUUUUUGUUCUCCAUCGUUUAUACUUUGGUGGUCCUCUUAGUUCUCAGUCACACAUCUAUUUUGUUAUAGUAGUACAAACACUUAGGGUGGAAGGAUGUUUGACAUGUUCUGGUCUCAAAUUCAUAACUUAAUUGGUAUCUUUUCUGUUCCAAUUUUUAUGCCACUUCGUGGUUUAGAGGGUCUAAUCGAAGGCACAAACAAUGUUUCCUGAUUUAUUUUUAAAAUACAGUCUGGCAAUUUUCUCAGAACAUGCUGAUGGACAGCCAACCUAAAAGCUAUACCUGAAAAACUGAUAACUUUUUGGCAACCUAUUCUACCUUUCAGGUGUGGAAAGCCGACUGGCUACUGGUUUGCCUUUGUGUUACCCAGUUCCCAGUAACAACAUUAUAAUAUCAUUAAAAUUAAAUGUGGAUGCAUAAUGUUAUCUAUGAAAUUGUUAUGUUCAUUCCCCUAGCAUAUUUCUAUCUACAUAUUAAAAGUAUGGUCUUAUCCAGUCAUGAAUGUUCUACAUCAAGCAAAAUUUAUGACCUGAUCAACUAUGUAAGGAGUCCAUCAGUGAUAAUAUAAGAAGGGAGGACCUACAAUUCUGAUGAAAAGGUUUUAUCAUGAGUUUUAUUUCAUUACAUAUAUAAAUUGGGUGUCAAAGUAAAUUCAGUAACCAGGACAUAAUGAAAUAUUUACGCUUACCUAUUCUAAUUUUAAUAGUUUAUCAAGCCAUCAAGUUUUUACGGUCUAUUUAUUAGAACUUAAUCAGGUUUGUAUAGUGUGUUGCUUUAUGAUCAAUUGACCAUUCAUUACCUCCGCCUGAUGGCCCUUAUUAACAACAAAAUGGAAUUGAGGGUAUCCAUGGAGAUGCAUGUAGCUGAACUCAGUCAAGUUUCUAUCCAUUGUGUGUGUGUGUGCGCGCUUAUUUGGCAUCGUGUUCUUCCUUUUCAUGGGGAAUCAUAAAAGCAUAUGGAGGAACUAUGUAUAGGCUACAAAGAAGCAUAAGAAGCAUUUUUAUAGCAGAAGCCAAGUGUUCUGAUGAUUUUGUUUUUU